AUACUUACCUGGAUGGGGUUAAUGGAUGAUCAAUAAGGUUCAUGACCUAGGAGAGUGACCUCCAUUGUACUAAUUUGUCAAAGUUAGAUUAACAUGUCAAAAUUGUGUCUGCUAUUUAACAUUUUUGUGGUUGAUUC
rnacentral:snRNA from 8 species